ACUCAUCAUUUUUGUACGUUCUUUAAAAAAUUGAAAUAGUAAUUAUGACACUUCAAAGUGACUUUUAAAAAUAUCCAGAAGAAAAAAAAAGAAGCAAUGUAUUUGGAAAAAGUUUAGAAACUAAGAGAUGUGCAAUUUGAAUCAUCCAGAGGAGGGUUAUUACCCAAUAAUGAAGCCUCACACUCCCGUUACACUGGCUUUUGUAUGCGAGCCUUUCAAACCAUGAGCUAAUGAUGCUUCCUGCCUCCCCUAUGGCUGGGGUCCCUGUUGACAUCUUCUGAUGAAUGGAGAAAAUAGGACCAGGUGAACUUGACUUGUCUUCACUUCAAACCAUUUAUUAAUGCCGUGGUUUAGAAUACAACUCCCAGGUUCUCUUUAUUUGUUUCUCUUUCCUAGAAUACCAAGACUUCUUAUUCCUUGCCCUGCACAAUGAGGUCCCCAGGUACGGAGGAAGCACAACACAGAGAUGAUCAGAGAUGAUCGGGUUGGGGAGCUGGAUUUAAGAGCCCACCCCCAAUGAGGCUUAAUGGACCUAGCUGAGGAGACUAAAUCCUCUUAUGGAAAUGAGGAGGGAAGAAGGGGGUGGGGCUUGCUGUGUAUAAGCUCCAAUUGUUAAGCUUCCAGGAACCUGCCUGCAGGUUGUUAAACCUAAGGUAGCUUGAAGUCAGCCAUGGUGGGAAGAUUUACACCAUGAACCCCAGCAAACAAAACAAGUGAGGACUGCCCUACAGCGCAAUGAGCUCACUAGGGCAACCUAGAAAGCUGUGAAGAAAACAAGGGGUUAUGCCUUAUCAGUCUUUUGUCUAAGUUAGUCAGAGGGAAGCCAAGGUUGGAAGGGUGUUCGUUGCCUUUAAAUUACUCUAUGCCAUGUGGUCAUUGAUCAGUUGAUGAUACUGAGAAGGGAAGGAAAACUCACCAGGAAUCCAGUAAACUGAGGUCUAUGCUGGUAGGAUGCUUUAAACCUGAGGUUUGGGUUAUUAUUAGACUACGCUGGGAAAUCAAGAGGUAAAACCAACUCCUUACUUUCCCUGGGUGUCUACUUUCUUUCCUCUGUUUCCUCCUGGCUCCUUUCAGUCCCUAGGAUUUGUUCAUUCAUUCAUUCAUUCAUUCAUUCAUUCAGAAGACGUGCUUUGAAAUGGGGGUGCUAGGAGCAGAGGCUCAAAUGGAGAGUAAACAUUCAGUCUACCCAUAUGUGAAGACAUUUUCCUAUACCAUUUAAUUAUUGCUUAGUUAACAUAUAAAUGGCCCGAUUAGGUGAACAUUAUCUUUAUCCCAGACUUGGGAAAAUCGAGGUAAUAUUUGUAUUUUGGCAUUAAAAUAUGAUAUUGAUAUUUGCUAUUAAUUUUAUAUUUUGGAUAAAGGGUGUUCACUCAGAACUUAGACUUCACCUUCCCAUAGGCAUGGGGCGCUAAGGAAGGCUGUUCUGAGCCCCUUCAGAUUCAGAGGGAAGACUAGGAAGUCGAAUGAGGCAGCCCUGCAGGAGCUAGUACCCUUCCCUGCAGCAUCUGCAUCUGCUGAGACCCGCGUUUCCUUAUGCAAACGUUUGCAGAGUAUUCUCCUAAAGACCCUGACCUGCUUUAGCGGAUGGAAUUUGGCUAAGGCUGAGCACGUUGGGUUAAAGCUGGACUGAAGAGAACACGAUGUCUGGUUCCACACAGAAAGGGGUGGAGACGAAGCACCAGAUCUACUUGAAGACUCUGGACACCAUCUUUUGAGGCAAGCCCCACCUCUCCUCAGGGGCCUGGCGAUGUGUUUUCAGUGUUCCUGUUGCAAUGAGAUAUCUCGUUGCUAAUUUUCUCAAAUUGAAAGGGCCCUGCCUUGAAUUGUUGGGGAAUUAAGAUUCUGGACCUGGUAGCUGCUCAAAACUGCAUCUUAGAAGCCUAGAUGACCAAUCCCUCUGAGGAGAAAGGCUUUUACCUAACUAUCUUUGUGUUCUUCUCAAUGGGUUUUAAAUUUUAAUUGAUGGAAAGAUAUAUUGGUCCAGAAAUGAUCUGCACACAUCCAAGACAAUUGGAGCAAACCUUUGGAUCUAUAAAACCAAUGAAGCAAGAAACCAACUGACCAACCAAAGAACCAAAGAAUCAAUAACCAAACAACCAAACAACUAAACAACCAACCAACCAAUCAACCACAAACAGCACUGCUGCAUCUCAGCAGCAGAUGGUAUCUUGUUGAAAAUCCUUAUGUGAAUUCAGAACAUGUUCUGAAAGGAAACAUUGACCUCCGGCUGUAUCAUGGCAUAUGCAAUCAAACCAACACUUAGGUCACCUUUUGCAUGAAAACUCACAUUAAAUUUAGGUCAUUUAUGUUUAUGCAAGUACCAUCUUGGGAGAGGGAGUUACUCUGUACCUUUCCAUAAUUGAGAAAAGUCCCUGGGGUAGGACCUUGGCAAAUGAUGACCAGAGGCAGCUGAAGCAAUUUUAUGGCUGCUUCCCUGUGUACACAUGCUUACAGUCUCCUUUCAAAAGCUCCCACUUUAGAAUUUCCAGAGGAAAGCGUGCAGUGUAUGAUCACAGAAAUUAUUCUGCUUAGGAGGCUAUAAGAGCUAUGAAAGGAAUGAAGCCUACAGGCAGAGUAGUGCCUGGACAUCCAAAGAUGGCUGUCUGGGGUGGCUGAGAUUGGCACACCCAUUACUGAAUGCAAGCUCCAUAGACUUCCCGUGAUUAUGUCAAUCAGAAAUGUUUCCAUGAAGGCGUUUGCAAUGGAGAGUAGGUAUGAGGGCACGUUUCUCCUUUAGCUAAAGCUUGCAAUGAGAACAAGGCAUAGAAUUAAUGCCUGGGAACAAAGCCCCAGAUGAUGAGCUCAAAUGGGCCUUCCUGGGCUGUAAGAAGACCUUUAUCCACUGCUGAUGUCCACCAAAAGGAAGUGCAUGCAGCCAUGUCUUCAGAGCUCCUGCUUUGCAGGGCUGGCAGCUGCCUUCUUAUCCUGGGCUGAGGCUGUUUCUGGCCAUACAAAAGAUGGCUGUGGAAUGUGAGCUGGCCUGGGGUUGCUGGGCCUCAGGCAUUACUGUAGAUUCUCUGGGGGCUUAGCUCUUGGCAUAACAAUCCUAUCCACUCUGCUACACAUUUCUCUUGCUGUCGGGACUAUCAUAUACAUAAACCCACAAAGAACUGUCUGCGCCAACUACUCUGUUUCCCAGAGAAGCUGAUCCCCAAAGAGCAGGCCGGGAAGAGCUAAUGAACCAGCUCUGAAGGGAGAAUCACGAAGAAGACUUCUCCUAAAGGUCAAGGUGGCUCAGAGCUCUGUGACCUAAUAAAGUCAUGGGGUUCGUGAGCAGGAGAGUCUUUAGCUGGGAACCAGACUGAGAAAGUGGGAAAGAAGGAAGAGAGGUACAGGACAGGCUUUUUACCCUGUGUGCCUCAUAAAAUGAAUGAUCAAAAGUAAAUUACAGACUUGCAAAUGGGUGGUUAACGACUGAGACAAUAUGAGUGCAGAGAGAAGCUCAUCAAAACACACUGGGCAAGAGCAGGAGGGAAGGGCUGAAUACAAAUGAUGCUCUAUAAAGCCACAGCAUCAAAGCAAACGGCCCCCAGUGGAGGGUCCAGGUCAUUCCCCACACCUGUCGGGUAGAGAGAACGUGCUGCAAGAGCCCUCUUUCAAAGGAGGAGCAGAUGAAGCCCCUGUGUGGAAAGGGGAAGAAAGACUGACGGGAAAGAGGAGUGACAGUGUCAGAAGAACACAGCCUCAGCUGCUGAUGAGAGCCGCCCUCUUCUUAGACAGUGGGGUGGGACGGCAGGCAGCAGACUUCAGGCUUUCAGCUGGGGCCAGCAUAGAACUAUUCUUAGCCGAGGCUGGGGGAGGGUAGGAGAGGCUACGAAGGAUGCUUAUGUCUAAUCUAUGCAAUAAUUCACAGCCUCUGGGCUCACGAGCACAUGUAACUAGGGUACGAUGGCCCAGUGUAGCACAGGAAUCCCAGCACUCUGGAAAUGGAGGCAAGAAUAUUCAAAGUGAGAUCCUGUUUCAAUAAAAACCAAAACAAAGGUGGUAGAUGA